rnacentral:rRNA from 1 species
AUGAACGCUGGCGGCGUGCCUAAUACAUGCAAGUCGCGCGAACGGACGAGAAGCUUGCUUCUCUGAUGUUAGCGGCGGACGGGUGAGUAACACGUGGAUAACCUACCUAUAAGACUGGGAUAACUUCGGGAAACCGGAGCUAAUACCGGAUAAUAUUUUGAACCGCCUGGUUCAAAAGUGAAAGACGGUCUUGCUGUCACUUAUAGAUGGAUCCGCGCUGCAUUAGCUAGUUGGUAAGGUAACGGCUUACCAAGGCAACGAUGCAUAGCCGACCUGAGAGGGUGAUCGGCCACACUGGAACUGAGACACGGUCCAGACUCCUACGGGAGGCAGCAGUAGGGAAUCUUCCGCAAUGGGCGAAAGCCUGACGGAGCAACGCCGCGUGAGUGAUGAAGGUCUUCGGAUCGUAAAACUCUGUUAUUAGGGAAGAACAUAUGUGUAAGUAACUGUGCACAUCUUGACGGUACCUAAUCUGAAAGCCACGGCUAACUACGUG